GCUGGCUAGAACUUGCGGUAUUCUGUUGAAUAGCAGUGGUCUUCUCCAUGAAAGAUGUCUACAAUGAAAAUUCUGAAACACUGAUGAAAUAAGUUGAAGACUACACAGAAAACGGAAAGAAAUCUCAUGUUUAUGGAUUGGAAGAAUCAAUAUGGUUAAAAUGCUCAUACUACUGAAGGUGAUCAACAGAUUCAAUGCAAUCCUUAACCUAUGACAUUCUUCACAUAAAUAGAAAAAACAAUUAUAAAAUGUAUGUAGAACCACAAAAUACCCAGAACAACCAAAGUAAUUAUAGGCAAAAAGAAAAAAGCUAGACACAUCCCAUUACUUGACUUCAAAUAGUAAAGCUGUAAUAAUCAUUGCAGCAUGGUACUAGCAUAAAAACAGACAAAUAGACCAAUGGAACAGAAUAGAGAACUCAGAAAUAAAUCCACAAACUUAAAAUGAACACAUUUUUGACUAAAGUACCGAGAAUUUACACUGAGGAAUAUCAGCCUCUUUAAAAAAUGCUGUUGGGAAAACUGGAUCUCUGUAAUGCAGAAGAAUGAAACGAGACCCCCUUUUCACCAUAUAACAUCUUAGUUAAAUAUUAAAUGGAUUAAAAACUUAAAUGCAAGAACUUAAUCUAUGUAACUGCUAGAAGAAAAUAUUAGGGAAAUGCUUCAGGAUAUUGGCCUGGACAAAGAUUUCUUGAGUAGGACCUCAAAAGCACAGGCAACCAAAGCAAAAAAUAGACAAAUGGGAUUAAAUCAAGCUAAAAUGUUUCUGCACAACAAAGGAAAAAAUUAACAGUUACAACAACCUACAGAAUGGCAGAAGAUAUUUGCAAACUAUUCAACUAAUGAAGAAUUAAUAACCAGAAUAUAUAAGAACAUUGACAUUUUAAGACAUUGGUUUGGGCAAAGAUUUCUUGGGUAAGACCUUAAAGGCACAGGCAAGCAAAACAAAAAUGGACAAAUGGCAUCAAAUCAAGCUAAAAUGUUUCUGCACAUCUAAAGAAACAGUUAACAAAGUUGAGACAACCCUAUAGAAUGGGAAAAAAUGUUUGCAAACUGUUCAACUAACAAGGAAUUAAUAACCAGAAUAUAUAAAGGAGUCAAACAACUCAAUAGCAAAAUAAACACAUAAUUUGAGUAAAAUAUGGCAAAAUCUUUUUAUCUUUUGUAAGCCGCAU
rnacentral:lncRNA from 1 species